UACGUAGGGUGCAAGCGUUGUCCGGAAUUAUUGGGCGUAAAGAGCUCGUAGGCGGCCAACUAAGUCGGACGUGAAAUCCCUCGGCUUAACCGGGGAACUGCGUCCGAUACUGGAUGGCUUGAGUUUGGGAGAGGGAUGCGGAAUUCCAGGUGUAGCGGUGAAAUGCGUAGAUAUCUGGAGGAAUACCGGUGGCGAAGGCGGCAUCCUGGACCAUAACUGACGCUGAGGCGCGAAAGCUAGGGGAGCAAACGGG
rnacentral:rRNA from 1 species